GAUGAACGCUGGCGGCGUGCCUAACACAUGCAAGUCGAGCGGACAGACGAGGAGCUUGCUCUUCUGAUUUUAGUUUUUUACGGGCGAGUAACACGUGGAUAACCAUCCUUUAAGACUUGGCUCACUUCGGGAAACUGGCGCUAAUACCCCAUAAUAUGUUGCCCCUCAUGGCUCAACAGCGCAUGCCUUUCUUGCUGUCACUUUUUGAUUGAUCCGUGUCGCAUUAGCUAGUUGGUAAGUUAACGGUUUACCAAGGCAGCGAUGCGUAGCGGACAUGAUGGGGAGAACGGCCACACGGGAAGUGAGACACGGUCCAGACUCCUAAGGGAGGCAGCAGUAGGGAAUCUUACGCAAUGGGCGAAAGGCUGACGGAGCAAAGCCGCGGGAGUGAAGAAGGUCUGCGGAUCGGAAAGCGAUGUUGUUAGGGAAGAAGAAAUGUGUAAGUAAAUAUGCAGGUAAUGACGGUACCAAAGAAGGAAGCCCCGGCUAACUACGUG
rnacentral:rRNA from 1 species